UGGGGCUUAGCUCAGCUGGGAGAGCAUCUGCCUUACAAGCAGAGGGUCAGCGGUUCGAUCCCGUUAGCCCCCACCA
rnacentral:tRNA from 2 species